rnacentral:lncRNA from 1 species
AAAAAGAAAAGGUUAAUAUAUACAUUUACAGUAUCUAAUCCUUGCUUAAAUUCCUUCCUCUCCUUCCUUAAAAAAAAAAAAAAAAAGCAAUGGCGUACCUGUUCACAAACACAAUAAUCCGUAGUGCAGUCAAAUUGUUUGCUAUUGCCUUGCUCCUAAUUAUUGCUUGUCAAGCUGCAGGUAGCGUGGUUCCUGAUGAUCACUCCCGACCACCCAUCCCUGGUUGUGAUAAUGAAGGAUACAUCCCUCCUUACUGUCCACCCUCACAUUAAAUGAACUCUGCCCACGAGUCAUGGUUUCUGUUGAACUUCGGGUUGGAAAUAAUCCAUAUAUAUAUACAUAUAU